UAUCUGCUUGAAAACUAGUACAAGGGGAACCUUCCUCUAAGACUAAAUAUGGUAUAUAAGCGAUAGCGAAAAAGUACCGUGAGGGAAAUGGUUGAAAUAGCAACUUUAUAAGCAGCUCUAGUGGAAUUUGACGAGGAAACGUGAGCGUACCUUUUGCAUAAUGGGUCAGCAAGUUAAUAUUUGAUGCGAGCAGCCUGAAAGUAUAACAAGAAGGGGUAGCAGGUUUACCCUAGCCCUUAAGGGCCUGCGAAGAUAAGACAAUUAUAACAGUAAUGAUGUAGUAUCAGGUAUUAGACCCGAAGCUUAGUGAUCUUACCAUGGCCAGGGCUAUAAAGGUUCGAAGGGGUUGCUGUUGCAUAAGCAUCCCAAGAGCUGUGGUAAGUUAGUGAAAGACAACACUGACUAAGAUAGCUGGACGUCUAGAGGGUAACAGCCCAGAACAAGAGUUAUAAGGUUCCUAAAUUGUUGUUAAGUGAAAUAAAGGAAGUUUUUAUUCCAAACGACCAGGAAGUAGGCUUAGCAUCGGUCAUCUUUUGAAAAACUCGUAGCAGAGUACUGGUUUUGCUUUAAUUAGCGCUUUCCCUUUAAGUCUGGGAAUGAGGGUAGAAGCACCGAAGAUUUAACGGAUCUAAAUAACAUACCGAUACCUUGUCCUAGUAUAGAAAGGAUAAUAUAUACUGGGGGUAGCGGAUCAUUGGGGAAGUUUAUUACGAUGUCUUUUGUAAGGCAUAUAUCCGACAACCCAAGCGAUAAUGCUGACAUGAGUAACGAUAAAGGGGAAACCCUCGCCUAAAGCUUAUGGAAUUAAAUUUAAUGUCACGGCCUCUAAGCUAACCCCAAAAGGAGUAAGCGAUGAGAAAAUCUUAAGAGUUUACAGUACACAACGCCCCCACUUUACCUAGUCUACCCACGAUGUAGUCGUAGGUGGAACACGAAGUAGUCUUAAAAGGACAACAAGGAGGGUUAAGCUAGUGACAUGCGUUCUGGAAAAAUGUAAACUCGGCAUCAGGGUGGCAUAUACCUAAGUUUUAAACGCAACUCAGCCAUAUGUCCCAUGUUGGUUGACCGUACCUAAAUACUACCACAAGUAAGCGAGUAGAGUAUACGAAGGCGUUCGAGUGAACAAGCAAGGAACUCGGCAAAUUGACUCCGUAACUUCGGGAGAAGGUGGGCCAUCCCUUCUGAUUAAUAUUAGAUAGGGGGAGGAGGCACAGAAUGGUGUUGUACGACUGUUUAAUUAAAACAAAGCACACUGCAAAGAAAUAAAUUCGAAGUAUUGGGUGUGAUCUCUGCCCGAUGGCGGCUGGCUACCGGAUUUGCUUAGUUCACUAAUACAGGCUAGGCUUUGAAGGAACCCCCGUUCAAUGGCGGUCUUACCUGAGGAUCCUAAGGUAGCGGAAUACCCUGGCCGUUAAAUGCGGUCUUGCAUAGUUAUCCUUUAACAUAUACUGGCUUAUGCUGAUACAUAGUUGUAUUUGCGAUCAGAAGCUAUAUGAUUUUGCGAUCAGAAGCUAUAUGAUUUUGCUAUGUAAAUAUGUAUGCUGAUAUGGAAGGAGCAUUAUAACUAGGAAAUAAUAAUGUCUUGUGCAAUAAUAUAAAGAAGCAAAUUCCGGGAAAAUCCUAAGAGCCCCUUUAACCAAGGCUUUAGCUGAAAGGCUAUAGCUGGCCUGAUUAAUGACUCAGGGUAUGGUAAUAUCAAAGGGGAUAGACGAAAGAACAAUGGACAACCGCGGAUCUAAGUCAGUUGAUAUCAUAUCAAUUGUAAAAGAGCAACGAGCGGACGCUUCUUCAGAGAUAGCUAAUAUCUUGGUAAGGUGCGCUCUAGUCACCAUGAAAAUGGCUCCUGGGAGAAACUAAUUAGUAACCUAGGAUUAAGGCUACUACAACAACCCUAACCUAAAGGCUACAUAUAUAUAUAACUACUCCUUGUAAUUGCAAUAACAAGGUGGUCAUAAUGCAACCAGGGGUAGAUGCUUAUGGUAAAUGUUGUAGACGGAAUGAUGUAACGAUACAACAGCUGUCUCAAUGAUUGGCUCGGUGAAAUUGGAAUAGCAGUGACAGACCCUAUGCAGCUUUACUGUUGCUAGUUACCGAGUAUGAUGUGCUGGGUUUUAGUGUAUAAGGUAAUCGGUAAGAUAGAAUUGAAACACCUUUACUUCAGCUUUCAUAUUAUAUAAACCCUACCAUCCAGAGUGAAUUGGUCUACUUAGGCCAUUCCUUAAAUGUCAUCUUAGACCAUGAGUUUACUGGAUUAUAGACAAAGGUAGAUGAACAAUUGCUAGGUGGCAGUUUAUGCGGGGCACAGAUCCCAUAAAAAGUAACUCACCAAGUUUAACGGCAUAAUCUUGCUUUACUGUAUGACCUACACGUCUACCAGUCGCGUAAGCGGGGCAUAAGAUCACAAGAUGCAGAAAGGAAAGGUCUUGGAUUAUUGAAAAAGCUACGCUAGGGAUUCGAUGUCGGCUUAGAUUAACCUUGGGGAUGCAGGAGCCUCAAAGGGUCCGACUGUUCGUCGGUUAAAAAUCUACACGAGCUGGGUUAAGUACGUCACGAGACAGUACGGUUUCUAUCUUCU
rnacentral:rRNA from 1 species